rnacentral:rRNA from 1 species
AGAGUUUGAUCCUGGCUCAGAACGAACGCUGGCGGCGUGCCUAACACAUGCAAGUCGUACGAGAAAGGUCCUUCGGGGCUGAGUAAAGUGGCGAACGGGUGAGUAAUGCAUGGAUAACCUGUCUCCGAGUGGGGAAUAACUCCGGGAAACCGGGGCUAAUGCCGCAUGACACCGCGCGCCCCUCGGAAUGCGCGGUCAAAGCUGGCCUCUGCUCGCAUGCUGGCGCUUGGAGAGGGGUCCAUGUCCCAUUAGCUUGUUGGUGAGGUAACGGCUCACCAAGGCUCCGAUGGGUAGCCGACCUGAGAGGGUGAUCGGCCACACUGGGACUGAGACACGGCCCAGACUCCUACGGGAGGCAGCAGUGGGGAAUCUUGCGCAAUGGGCGAAAGCCUGACGCAGCGACGCCGCGUGGAGGAUGAAGACCCUUGGGUCGUAAACUCCUGUCAGGUGGGAAGAAAGACGCUCGGCGAAUAACCGGGUGUCUUGACUGUACCACCAGAGGAAGCCCCGGCUAACUCCGUGCCAGCAGCCGCGGUAAUACGGAGGGGGCGAGCGUUGUUCGGAAUUACUGGGCGUAAAGGGCGCGUAGGCGGCUGACCAAGUCGGGUGUGAAAGCCCUCGGCUCAACCGAGGAACUGCACCCGAUACUGGUCGGCUAGAGUCCGGGAGUGGGUAGCGGAAUUCCCAGUGUAGCGGUGAAAUGCGUAGAUAUUGGGAAGAACACCGGUGGCGAAGGCGGCUACCUGGACCGGUACUGACGCUGAGGCGCGAAAGCCAGGGGAGCGAAUGGGAUUAGAUACCCCGGUAGUCCUGGCUGUAAACGAUGGGCACUUGGUGUGGCGGGUACUGACCCCUGCCGUGCCGUAGCAAACGCGUUAAGUGCCCCGCCUGGGGAGUACGGUCGCAAGGCUGAAACUCAAAGAAAUUGACGGGGGCCCGCACAAGCGGUGGAGCAUGUGGUUUAAUUCGAUCCACGCGAAGAACCUUACCUGGGUUUGAAUUGCCGGUGUCCGCCUCAGAGAUGGGGUUUCCCUUCGGGGCACCGGUGAAGGUGCUGCAUGGCUGUCGUCAGCUCGUGUCGUGAGAUGUUGGGCUAAGUCCCGCAACGAGCGCAACCCUUGCCCUUAGUUGCCAUCGGGUAAAGCCGGGCACUCUAGGGGGACUGCCCGGGAUAACCGGGAGGAGGGUGGGGAUGACGUCAAGUCCUCAUGGCCCUCAUGUCCAGGGCUACACACGUGCUACAAUGGCCGGUAUAGAGGGCAGCGAAGCUGCGAAGUGGAGCGAAUCCCCAAAAGCCGGUCUCAGUACGGAUUGGAGUCUGCAAUUCGACUCCAUGAAGGUGGAAUCGCUAGUAAUCGCGGAUCAGCAUGCCGCGGUGAACACGUUCCCGGGCCUUGUACACACCGCCCGUCACAUCACGAAAGUUGGCUGCACUAGAAGUCGCUGGGCCAACCCCUCGGGGGGGCAGGUGCCGAAAGUGUGGUUAGCGAUUGGGGUGAAG